UACGGAGGGGGCUAGCGUUGUUCGGAAUUACUGGGCGUAAUGCGCACGUAGGCGGCUUUGCAAGUUAGAGGUGAAAGCCCGGGGCUCAACUCCGGAAUUGCCUUUAAGACUGCAUCGCUAGAACACGGGAGAGGUGAGUGGAAUUCCGAGUGUAGAGGUGAAAUUCGUAGAUAUUCGGAAGAACACCAGUGGCGAAGGCGGCUCACUGGACCGUUGUUGACGCUGAGGUGCGAAAGCGUGGGGAGCAAACAGGA
rnacentral:rRNA from 1 species